UGAGGAAUAUUGCACAAUGGGGGGAACCCUGAUGCAGCGACGCCGCGUGGGUGAUGACGGCCUUCGGGUUGUAAAGCCCUUUUGCCAUUGACGAGAACGGACGGUAGAUGGCGAAUAAGCCUCGGCUAACUACGUGCCAGCAGCCGCGGUAAAACGUAGGAGGCGAGCGUUAUCCGGAGUUACUGGGCGUAAAGCGUGCGCAGGCGGUGCCAUAAGUCAGGUGUGAAAGGUUCCGGCUCAACCGGGAAAACGCGCUUGAGACUGUGGGACUAGAGUGGGAUAGAGGGACGUGGAAUUCCGGGUGGAGCGGUGAAAUGUGUAGAGAUCCGGAGGAACACCAGAGGCGCAAGCGGCGUCCUGGGUCCCAACUGACGCUGAGGCACGAAAGCUUGGGGAGCGAACG
rnacentral:rRNA from 1 species